UACGGGGGGGCAAGCGUUGUUCGGAAUUACUGGGCGUAAAGGGCUCGUAGGCGGCCAACUAAGUCAGACGUGAAAUCCCUCGGCUUAACCGGGGAACUGCGUCUGAUACUGGAUGGCUUGAAUCCGGGAGAGGGAUGCGGAAUUCCAGGUGUAGCGGUGAAAUGCGUAGAUAUCUGGAGGAACACCGGUGGCGAAGGCGGCAUCCUGGAUCGGCAUUGACGCUGAGGUGCGAAAGCGUGGGGAGCAAACAGG
rnacentral:rRNA from 1 species